CUUUUAGUUGGAUAAUUUGCACGGAGGGGCAAGCGCUGCGCGAAGAAGAGGAAGAUAGAGCGAGUAGCGAGCGGAGCUGCUGGCGGCGGAGGAGAUCCUCACAGGCGGUGGGGGCGUGGACAUGGAAGCUCCGGCGGUGGAUGAGCAUGGUGGCUGGGAACCUCCAGUUCGAAUAGAGAGAGAGAGAACGGGAUGGAGGAAGGAGAGAACAAGAGGAAGAAGAGGGAGAGGAGGAAGGCAGGUCGGCGUUGGGUACCUGGUUCCGUCGGGAGUCGCUGGCGUCGAGGUGGCGGGGCGAGGCAGGGGUCGGGCGCUAGCUCUCGCAAUCCAUACGGGUUCGAGGCAGGGCGUGGGCGGCUCGGGCGCGCCACGCAUGGAGUCUUGUGGGGCGUGGGUCGUUCGACCGAUCUGGAUGAUUCUCCAUCAGUUCUGGUUCCCCACCAUGGCUACGGGCGCCUCUCGCCCUCUCCGUUCUGCACUCCUCCUCCUCCAAUUUAGGUGUGCGGCCAUAGCUAAGGGCCGCCUCCUCCUAUCCAUCCUUCCAAUCUGGAGCAUAGGUGGAGAGCCUGGUUGUGCGCGGCGGAGAUGGCGCCCCGCGUCGGUGCCCCGUAAUCCUACACGGAGCUCUGUCGAGGCCAUGACAUCCCCACCCAGGUAUAGGCGCACAUUGAUCUAAAAAAGGCACCAACCCAAUUGAACCUCUCCCUUGACCCUUUCUUCUUCAUCUUCCAAUCUCCUCUGUUAUCAAGUUCUAACAGUACAUCAAUCCAAGCAACUCUUUUUAGAUUAAUUAAGGAAUCAAUAUCACGAUGGUGCAUGCUUGAUGCAGCAGAGGAUCACAGGUGUAUUGCCGGUAGUUUCAAUUUAGCCAGGCGGUUGCCAUCAUCGUUAGACUUCACUGGAAGAACUGCAAUGGCUCUUUGUUCCAGCCAUAUCCGAUCUCCCGAGCCAGAGCUUUCAGGUCACUACAACACACUGUUUUCACGUCGCAUCGCACCAGCUCCUGGUGAGUUUGCUCACUUGAGUCAUAAUAGAGGGAGUAAGAAUGUCAGAAGGGAGAAGAACAAAAAAUCAUGUUGUCAGAGACGACAUCCAAACCAUUUUGUGUGUGUUGGAGUGAUUGAACCUUGUCAAUCAGAGCUGACAUCGCGUCUCCUUCCUCGUACAUAAUUUUUGGGUAGUUGUGCAUCUAUAUUCCAUUCUGUACACCAAGAGAUUAUGUUGUUUUCCUAUUACAAAAUUGAACUAUGUAAGACAUUGCUAUUUACUGAAGCAGUUACGAUCUAGUACAUCGUUAUCAUUCUCAACAACUUCAUAGUAAGCCAGUACAGAUUGAGAUCUGACAACUAUUGCUUAUCUGCAUUCAAGUUAGCUCAAUUGUUCUGACAUGCAAUCUUAUUUUCCUCUCGUGUUUAUUCUUGAGACAUUUUACAGAAAUAUAAAUAGCAGGCAAGCAAUCAGGUUGAUCAGAGCCAGACAGUUCACUGCAGUAAGCAAUGCAAUGUAAGAGCAUAUGUUGUCAUUAAAAUUCCAUUCAAGAAGGAUUUCAUAUGUGUGUGUUAAUCACUUUGGUGCAUUUAUCGAUAAAUGAUUUAUUGGCCAUCUACCAAUAAAUCGGUUGAGCUCCUCGAGGCAAAAACCUCCAAAUUUAUGGCAAAAUUCAUCCUUGUGCUGGAUUACAAGCACUUAUGUUGUGUACAUUUCCGUGGGCAGAAGGAUCAGUUGGUUGGUUAUGAGUUUUGUGCUUGGUAAUUUUUCAGAUCGUGGCAGAUUGUUAUCGCUAGCAAUGACUCACUGAUCUCUGAUGUGGCUCUCAAUAGUGAUGCAUUACAAAAUGGACCGAUCCAUCAUCGUUAAUCUACUGCUGUCGGCUUCUUCUGAGCUACUAAUAUCAGGUUGUUUUAUUUAUGUUGAGUGGUUUAAGCUUCAAGGAUGCAACUGAAAUGUGAUCAAGUGGUUGUUCUCAACUUCUCAUUCAGUUCAUCCUGAUAAUCUGGCUAGAGAACUGUAUAUCAGUUUAUUAAUGUAGUUUAUGUGUGAAUCCUGCAAGUCGUCAUGUUCAAUUGUGGUGUCAUGUAGAAUUUGUAUUAAUCCUAGUGAGUGCAAACUAUAGGGUUAGUUGUGUUUGAUGUUGAAUCCCUGAUGAUCACAUUGUCAGAAAAUUAUUCCUGGUUUCCUUUCUGUUAGUCAGUUUUAAGUGUGAAUGGUACAAGUCAUAUUAUUUGAUUGUUCUUUUGUUAUCGAAUCUGCCCGAGCAUAUUGUCCACAAACUAUAUUUCUUUUCAAUAUGUCAGUCUUAUUUCAGUGAUUGUUUUGUUAAUGUUUAAAUUAGCUACAUUAAAACUAAAAUCAUAUGGGAAACAGUGCGAUUUACAAGGACUCUUUGGGGAGAUACUUUGCAACUGUGGAACAGCAAUAAAUCAUGUUCUGAGUACUUAGAUUGAAAACAUCAAGACAAUAUUUUAUAUUGCAGUGGGGUUGGCUGCUGUAUUAUGGAUGAUUUGGAGAUUUUUGAAUGAGGCAUGUUUUGAGAAUAAAAGCGGUGUCUGAUACUUUUGUUCUGAUUCAUGUGGUUUGUUAUUUGGUUAAACUCAAGCUAAAUUUUGCAGAUUAGCGCUGAUUUGGGGAGUAAAGCUCUUCGAGCAAGUGACAAAUCAAGUCUUUCAAGCUUCUCAAAGAUGGUGACCUGGAGUGGUUUGACUGGAAGCUUAAAAGCAAUUAAAGUGAAGAGAGGAAUCAAACUUUUAAAGCCACUCUUGCCAUUUGUGGACUGUUCCUGCUUGUUGGUGACUGCUUUUGCGAAUCCGAGGUGGUAUCCUUUGUAGCUGAAGGAAAAGAGGUAUGAAAGGGUGUAUUCCAUAUACUGUUCUAUCUUUGUGUCAUUAUAACGUAUAUAUUCCCUCGGUGCUUAAAAUGUUCUCAUUGCCAGUAUGUUUACGAUGAAGAUGGAUACUCUCAUUGUAUUGCAUAAUUGAUAUUCAACUUUACUAAGUGCUAUCCGGUGCUUAUCACACGUACAUGAGUAGUCCAGUGUACCUUUACGUAGUAGAAAGUAUUUUUGGUAAUCACUACUGGCUUAGGUCUCGUGAGUCAAAUAUCAGACCAGGAUUGAGCAGACAAUAUCAAUUUUGAUGAGACACAAUCCACACGAAGCAACAACCGAAGAUGACAAGGGGACUUUACCAUGGAGGCAUACGUGCUGACAGCAAUGCGGCAUGGAGGAGCGACAGUGGAGGCUAGAAGAAAAGGUUGGGGCAGAGCUCACAUGGCAAACACGUUGACACACAACAUGGCUGCAAAGGCGAUGUCGAGCUGGAGGUUGAUCAAAUAGAGGGGGGAUUUGCGCUCGCCCACGCCAACGCCGUAUAGGUUGUGAUGUCGUUAUUGAGUUAAAUACGUGUAAUAUUUUCUUUUCCCGUUACAAUGAACGGGUAUGUUUACUAGCAAUAUUUUUGAAGAAAAAUGAUAAACUCUUCCCAAGCAAAGAACCAACUAUCUGUAGAAAAAUUCAACAUAGUAAAAUAGUUUAAAAAUGAUCACAGUUUUACAUAUGUUUACACUUUAAAAAAUGUUCACACUUUUAAAAAGGUUCAAAAUUC